ACUCAGCACCCUAACACACUGAGCGGCCCAUCUCCCCCUAGUCUCUCUUCCUGUCUGAGUCCCUGCAGUCACAACCCUUGUUCUGACCAAGCCCGGGGCUGCCCCAUCCCCUCCCCAUUCAUUGAAGGGGUAUGUUGGGUUUUGCUACCUAAAACCACCCUUUUCCUGCAGCUCCCUCUCCUUCCGAUCUCACAUUCCUAGGAGCAUCUCAUCUGUCAUGGCCUUUCUCAGGCACUGUUUAUAUUUAUUUUAUUUAACCAGCAUAUUUGGCAAUAGCCACUUCUGUGUUGGCGAGUCACCCAUUGACAGAGACAGUCACUUGCUCAGACACAAAGCGAUGUAGGACUCUCCUACCGACUUGUCUCCCUGGGAGUUUAUUCUGCCUGGGUGACACCCACAUGCCAAUAUUUAGCCUAUGGAGUUCUCAAUCCCAGUCCAGGACCCUGGACCCUACUUCCUACCCUCAUAGCCACCUCCAGUCAUUACAUGUGCGCUGAGCUGAGCGCAGGGUCUCUCUGGGGUGUAAAGGGGACACCUGUCCCCGAGGGACAUCGCCAUGUGCUGAGCGCUCACCCCCUGGCAUCUCAUAUACCCGCCCUGGGGAACCUGCAUGCAAAUCCCUGCCCGGGGGGGUCCUGUAUAAAUACCAACCCCUGGUUCUAGGAGCCCCAGUCCCUCCCCAGACACAGAACUGCCCCGUCCUGCCCUCUGGGGAAUAUCCCUCAUUGCAUGAGAAGGAGAAUGGAAUCUCUGCUGCUUUUCCUUUCCCUGCUCUCAACCCUCACCUGUGUCCUGUCCCAGGUGCAGCUGGUCCAGUUGGGCCCAGGAGUGGUGAAACCAGGACAGACCCUCACCCUGACCUGUGCUGUCUCAGGUGCAUCCAUCACUGACAGCAGGUACAGCUGGAACUGGAUCCGGCAGCCUCCUGGAGCAGGGCUGGAGUGGGUGGCAGGGAUUUAUCCACAUGGUGGGAACACAAACUACGCCCCGUCCCUCCAAAGCCGAACCACCGUCUCUGCAGACCCUGCCAAGAACCAGGUCUCCCUGCAGCUCCGCUCGCUGACAGCUGCGGACACCGCCAGCUAUUACUGCGCCAGAGUCACAGUGACACAGAGCAGAGCGGGACUGGCACAAAAAAUGGGAAGUGGUUUCUAAACAGCCGAGUGAGGCCGGA